rnacentral:sRNA from 1 species
GUUUGCACUCAUCGGGGAAGGGUGAGAACCUUCGACUAAGGUUCGAUUCGAGCGAAAGCGAGAGAACGUUGUCACAGGCAACGGCCCGAAGGGUGAGGAGCGAAGCGACGAAUAAUCCUUCCCCCACCACCA